GACGAACGCUGGCGGCGUGCUUAACACAUGCAAGUCGAACGGAAAGGCCCUGCUUUUGUGGGGUGCUCGAGUGGCGAACGGGUGAGUAACACGUGAGUAACCUGCCCUUGACUUUGGGAUAACUUCAGGAAACUGGGGCUAAUACCGGAUAGGAGCUCCUGCUGCAUGGUGGGGGUUGGAAAGUUUCGGCGGUUGGGGAUGGACUCGCGGCUUAUCAGCUUGUUGGUGGGGUAGUGGCUUACCAAGGCUUUGACGGGUAGCCGGCCUGAGAGGGUGACCGGCCACAUUGGGACUGAGAUACGGCCCAGACUCCUACGGGAGGCAGCAGUGGGGAAUAUUGCACAAUGGGCGGAAGCCUGAUGCAGCAACGCCGCGUGCGGGAUGACGGCCUUCAGGUUGUAAACCGCAUUCGCCUGUGACGAAGCGUGAGUGACGGUAAUGGGUAAAGAAGCACCGGCUAACUACGUG
rnacentral:rRNA from 1 species